UACGUAGGGUGCGAGCGUUAAUCGGAAUUACUGGGCGUAAAGCGUGCGCAGGCGGUUAUGUAAGACAGUUGUGAAAUCCCCGGGCUCAACCUGGGAAUUGCAUCUGUGACUGCAUAGCUAGAGUACGGUAGAGGGGGAUGGAAUUCCGCGUGUAGCAGUGAAAUGCGUAGAUAUGCGGAGGAACACCGAUGGCGAAGGCAGCCCCCUGGGCCAAUACUGACGCUCAUGCACGAAAGCGUGGGGAGCAAACAGG
rnacentral:rRNA from 1 species